rnacentral:tRNA from 1 species
GCGGGGAUGUCCGAGCGGUCAAAGGAGCUGGGCUUAGGACCCAGUGGCGUAGAUGGAUUAAAUAUCCAGCGCA